rnacentral:rRNA from 1 species
CCCUUAGAUGUUCUGGGCCGCACGCGCGCUACACUGUUCGACGCAGCGAGUCUUAACCUUGACCGAAAGGUUUGGGUAAUCUUCAGCAAAGUCGAACGUGAUGGGGAUCGAUCAUUGCAAUUAUUGAUCGUGAACGAGGAAUUCCUAGUAAGUGCAAGUCAUCAGCUUGCGCUGAUUACGUCCCUGCCCUUUGUACACACCGCCCGUCGCUACUACCGAUUGAAUGGUUUAGUGAGAUCUCUGGAUUGACGCUGGCGAGGGGGCGACCCUUGGCCAGACUGUUGAGAAACUGCUCAAACUUGAUCAUUUAGAGGAAGUAAAAGUCGUAACA